UCGAACGUAAGAUGACUGUAGGUGAAAGCUUACAUCUCUUCGGAGCAUUUUACGAGGUGCUGCAUGGUUGUCGUCAGCUCGUGCCGUGAGGUGUCGGGUUAAGUCCCAUAACGAGCGCAACCCCUACCUUUAGUUGCCAUCAGGUAAUGCUGGGGACUCUAAAGGAACUGCCUACGCAAGUAGUGAGGAAGGCGGGGAUGACGUCAAAUCAGCACGGCCCUUACGUCCAGGGCUACACACGUGUUACAAUGGCCAGUACAGAGGGCAGCCACCCCGCGAGGGGGCGCUAAUCCUAAAAGCUGGUCCCAGUUCGGAUCGGAGUCUGCAACCCGACUCCGUGAAGCUGGAUUCGCUAGUAAUCGCGCAUCAGCCACGGCGCGGUGAAUACGUUCCCGGGCCUU
rnacentral:rRNA from 1 species